CCUACGGGAGGCUGCAGUGAGGAAUAUUGGUCAAUGGACGAGAGUCUGAACCAGCCAAGUAGCGUGAAGGAUGACUGCCCUAUGGGUUGUAAACUUCUUUUAUAAAGGAAUAAAACGAGGCACGUGUGCCUUUUUGCAUGUACUUUAUGAAUAAGGAUCGGCUAACUCCGUGCCAGCAGCCGCGGUAAUACGGAGGAUCCGAGCGUUAUCCGGAUGUAUUGGGUUUAAAGGGAGCGUAGAUGGGUUGUUAAGUCAGUUGUGAAAGUUUGCGGCUCAACCGUAAAAUUGCAAUUGAUACUGGCAGUCUUGAGUACAGUUGAGGUAGGCGGAAUUCGUGGUGUAGCGGUGAAAUGCUUAGAUAUCACGAAGAACCCCGAUUGCGAAGGCAGCUUACUAAACUGUGACUGACAUUGAUGCUCGAAAGUGUGGGUAUCAAACAGGAUUAGAUACCCGGGUAGUC
rnacentral:rRNA from 1 species